UGCCAGCAGCCGCGGUAAUGCGGAGGGUGCGAGCGUUGUUCGGAAUUACUGGGCGUAAAGAGCGUGUAGGCGGCUAACUAAGUCUGGUGUGAAAGCCCGGGGCUCACCCCCGGAAGUGCGCUGGAAACUGGUUAGCUAGAGUAUGGGAGAGGGAAGUGGAAUUCCUGGUGUAGCGGUGAAAUGCGUAGACAUCAGGAGGAACACCGGCGGCGAAGGCGGCUUCCUGGACCAAUACUGACGCUGAGACGCGAAAGCGUGGGGAGCAAACAGGAUUAGAUA
rnacentral:rRNA from 1 species